GGAUUGGGGGCAUAAUUAAACUUUAUGGUUGAGGCUGACAUGAUUCUCUCUUUGUAACAGGUCAAUGAGUUCAAGUCUAUAGAAAAGUUCAAAAUUUUCAAUACAAACAAUUUGAGGUCAAUGGAAUCAAGGUUCUUCAACUGGAAAUUGCAACUGGUGCAGCAAUUAGGUUCUUUGAUCAUGCUAUUGGUAUCAACGUACCU